rnacentral:rRNA from 1 species
UACGAAGGGGGCUAGCGUUGUUCGGAAUUACUGGGCGUAAAGGGUGCGUAGGCGGGUUUUUAAGUCAGAGGUGAAAUCCUGGAGCUCAACUCCAGAACUGCCUUUGAUACUGGGAAUCUUGAGUAUGGAAGAGGUGAGUGGAACUGCGAGUGUAGAGGUGAAAUUCGUAGAUAUUCGCAAGAACACCAGUGGCGAAGGCGGCUCACUGGUCCAUAACUGACGCUGAGGCACGAAAGCGUGGGGAGCAAACAGG